CAAAGUUCCCUUCCCCAUUACAUCCGUUUUGGACUGCCUCAGGUUAAUCACUACCUUGUUACUCCACACUUCCACGUCCAUCGCCUGAAGCCCCCCGGCCCUCUGGCGAUUGCUGCUAACCAGCUCGCUGACCCGAAAUGCCACAAAAAGGAAAAACUAAAAAUCGAGGAAAACAACGUAACUUUGUAUCCUGAAAAACACACCGCGG